UCUCGUUAGAUCACCGAAGUUAAGCAUCAUUGGGAGCGGUCAGUACUUGGGUGGGUGACCACCUGGGAACACUGCGUGCCGUU